UUAAACGCACAGCAACUGACGUACAUCAAGUUGAUUGGACUGGGUGAACUUCUCAAGACUCCUGGCAUGAGAAUGAGACGUCUACUGUGCCAGGCCAUCGCUUAUUCAUAUGAUGCAGAGCAGGAUGCCUUUAUAAUUAAUGGGAGACCAUGUAGGAUCACACUAAAAGAAGUUGAGCAUAUAACAGGCCUGCCCUGCAUGGGGAAGAAUCACGUCUCUUCAAAUCACAACGAUACUUUGGAGUUGUGGAAGGAACUUAAAGACCCCAAUGGCACGAAAGUAACUUUGAAAGGAUUGCUAGCCAAGAUGAAAGGCGACAACACACCUAAUUUUGUCAGGCCAUUUGUCUUGUACACCAUAGGCAAAUAUGUAUGCCCGACAACACAGCAGUAUGUGGACAACAGAUACCUUGGGAUUGUUAGAAACGUUGAGACAAUAAAGAGCACCAAUUUUGGACAACUUACACUUGACCACCUUAUGGCUAGCGUCAGGAAAUUUGUAAAUGGUGGAGCAAAUCUGGAGGGCAACCUACCACUGCUGCAAGUAAUACAAUCAUUA
rnacentral:rRNA from 1 species